rnacentral:rRNA from 1 species
UACAGAGGUCUCAAGCGUUGUUCGGAUUCAUUGGGCGUAAAGGGUGCGUAGGUGGCGCUGUAAGUCGGGUGUGAAAUUUCGGAGCUUAACUCCGAAACUGCAUUCGAUACUGCGGUGCUUGAGGACUGGAGAGGAGACUGGAAUUCAUGGUGUAGCAGUGAAAUGCGUAGAGAUCAUGAGGAAGACCAGUGGCGAAGGCGGGUCUCUGGACCGGAACUGACGCUGAGGCGCGAAAGCGUGGGGAGCAAACAGG